GCCUGAGGCUGAGCCAUGCAACGGGCUGCCACUCACACAGAUACUAUUACCAUUAACAACAACCAGACUGAUAAGGCCUGAGGCUGAGCCAUGCAACGGGCUGCCACUCACACAUGAUAAGUCGACAACCCGUCCCUCCCCCAUUUAGAGGGUUAUAAUAUCCCAGACCCCCCCAGGUUAGGGUUAUAAUAUCCCAGACCCCCCAGGUUAGGGUUAUAAUAUCCCAUCCCCCCCCAGGUUAGGGUUAUAAUAUCCCAGUCCCCCCAGGUUAGGGUUAUAAUAUCCCAGUCCCCCCCAGGUUAGGGUUAUGAUAUCCCAGUCCCCCCAGGUUAGGGUUAUAAUAUCCCAGUCCCCCCAGGUUAGGGUUAUAAUAUCCCAGUCCCCCCCCAGGUUAGGGUUAUAAUAUCCCAGUCCCCCCCCAGGUUAGGGUUAUAAUAUCCCAGUCCCCCCAGGUUAGGGUUAUAAUAUCCCAGUCCCCCCCAGGUUAGGGUUAUAAUAUCCCAGUCCCCCAGGUUAGGGUUAUAAUAUCCCAGUCCCCCCAGGUUAGGGUUAUAAUAUCCCAGUCCCCCC
rnacentral:lncRNA from 1 species